GGAGAAGUGAACAUUACAUGCGGAGAUGCCUAACAGCAAAGUGAGGUUUUGGCGUCAUGACUGAGGCAAUGCCAGAAGAACACUACCUGUUUGCACCACUGGAUUUUGCCUUCAUCCUGCAACACAAUAAACUAUCGCGAGGCACAGAUAUCACUUUAAGGACCAUCAAUGGAGGACACAAGGACUGGUGAGUGAACAAGACAAGAACUUUCUGCAGGACCAGUUUAUUUACAAUGAUAAGCACAGACAUAUCAGAACAUACAGCGCGUCUCUGGUAGCUGAGGACGAACAGACUGGCUGCAGGCAGCGCUUGUUCCCCUACAUCACACAGACUAGGUGUACAAGCAGACCUAUCACAAGAGAAUGGCGUAACCUCCUGAUUUGGUGCAGGUCCCUUUAACGUAUCACACAACCCUUACCAAGUUCUCUGGUGGCAGAAAAUAAAGACACGUACAACACAGAAUGUUCAUCUUAAAGCUUUUUUUGUUUUAUGAAGGGAACAGUUUUCACCCCCAUGGGUUCACUGUCCAUGACGCAAACUUAAAACCACUAAACAUGCAGCUGCCUCUAGGCUCGGAUAAGACUUUUUCCUAAUAUAAAUGGCUGACAUCUCUAGAGGCAAAGGCUUUUAAACUGCCCAAAACAACCUCUGAGACUUGAGAUGUAACAUUUUUCAUAUUCCAUAUACUGUACAAUUUAAAGGGGUUACCAACUCAGGCUUACAUCUUAUAAUGGCUUGGAGUACCAGUAUACGCAUUAACUCACAAUCUCUAUGAAGUUAAAGGGAACCUGUCACCGGGAUUUUGUGUAUAGAGCUGAGGACAUGGGUUGCUAGAUGGCCGCUAGCACAUCCGCA